ACCAGGUGCAGUGGCGCACACCUGUAAUCCCAGCAGCUUGGCAGGCUGAGGCAGGAGGAUCACGAGUUCAAAGCCAGCCUCAGCAACGGCAAGGCACUAAGCAACUCAGUGAGAACCUGUCUCUA
rnacentral:sRNA from 1 species